UCCCUGGUGGCUCAGAGGUUAAAGCGUCUGCCUCCAAUGCAGGAGACCCGGGUUCGAUCCCUGGGUGGGGAA
rfam:TPA: Bos taurus chromosome 2, whole genome shotgun sequence.